GAUGAAGAACGUAGCGAAAUGCGAUACGUAAUGUGAAUUGCAGAAUUCAGUGAAUCAUCGAGUCUUUGAACGCACAUUGCGCCCCCUGGUAUUCCGGGGGGCAUGCCUGUCCGAGCGUCAUUGCUGCCCUCAAGCACGGCUUGUGUGUUGGGCCUCCGCCCCCCGGCUCCCGGGGGACGGGCCCGAAAGGCAGCGGCGGCACCGCGUCCGGUCCUCGAGCGUAUGGGGCUUCGUCACCCGCUCUUGUAGGCCCGGCCGGCGCUUGCCGACACAUCAAUCUUUUUUCCAGGUUGACCUCGGAUCAGGUAGGGAUACCCGCUGAACUUAAGCAUAUCAAUAAGCGGAGGA
rnacentral:misc_RNA from 1 species